CAUUUGAGAGCUACCCGUAUACACUUCUCUUCUUCACCCCAAACAAAAUCGACGCACAAAGCACAGAUCACUGUCUCUAAUUUUAGGGUUUUUUCUCCUCUCUCUCUCUUCUCCCCAUUGCAAGAAUUUCAAAGGAAUGAGUAAGACGGUUGGUGUUGUUAUGGUUCGAUUAUUCAUAAUGGGGUUCAGCUGUUGCCAAGAGAUUAGAGGAAGAAGGUUAUGAUAACAUAGCAUGCAUAACAUCCGGAGCUAGUAAAAAAAGAAAUCAGCAAAAUCGAUGUUGGUGGCUUCUCAAUGUUGUUCGUCGUACUGAUUGGUCUUAUAGGUGUUUUGGUUGGAUAUCUGAUAAAGAAGACGUAGUUAGAAGUAGACGCUCUUUGAUUCAUUAGUUGCAUGCCCAGAAAAACUUGAUGGCGUUGGAGAAUUUUGUUUUUCCCUUUGUUUAAAGACUUGUGCAUUAGAAGUAGGCUAUUAUGAAGUCAUGUAUAGUGUAAAAAUAUUUUAGUCCAUUAUCGGUAUUAUGGGCAUUUAACGACUUGACGGAUCUGUGGGCGUG